rnacentral:rRNA from 1 species
UACGGGGGGGGCAAGCGUUGUUCGGAAUUACUGGGCGUAAAGGGCUCGUAGGUGGCCAACUAAGUCAGACGUGAAAUCCCUCGGCUUAACCGGGGAACUGCGUCUGAUACUGGAUGGCUUGAGUUUGGGAGAGGGAUGUGGAAUUCCAGGUGUAGCGGUGAAAUGCGUAGAUAUCUGGAGGAACACCGGUGGCGAAGGCGGCAUCCUGGACCGGUAUUGACGCUGAGGCGCGAAAGCCAGGGGAGCAAACGGG